UUUACUUUAAUGUGUAUAUUAUGCAUGGGAUAGAGAGGCAUUUUCAGAAAAUAAGGGAAGAAAUUUUAGGAGGAAGAGAAGAUUUUCUUUUCUUCCACAAAACAAAAAGAAGAGAGAGGAAGUAGAGAGAAAGAGAAGGAUGGUGGAGAGAGAAAUUUUGCUGCAAAGAGGCCAAAAUCUGCUAAUCAAUGGACCGCAUACCGAGCACCGUAAAGUCACCAAUGACAACCUCCAACCAGUGAACUGCCAGAAACCCAUGACAGGAAAAGAGAAAGAGUGGCCAAAUCUUCCGAUCAGAUUCCAAUCUACUCCAGCCACAAAUCAGCGAGCCACCACCACUAACAAACUCCUCG
rnacentral:lncRNA from 1 species